rnacentral:tRNA from 1 species
GAUUAAAUGGCUGAAGAUAGGCGAUAGAUUGUAAAUCUAUAUAUGAAGUAUUACUUCUUUAAUCA